UGACUAUCGUCAAGGAUGUGAAAACUUCUAAGAGAAGUUUCCAGUGGUGGGAGUUUAAACUUAGAUAACCAAAAAUACCGUUUAAUUGCUAACAUUUGGUUCUUUGAACAAUGAAAACAGGAAUGUUAAAGGCACUGUAACAUCUGGAAAGGAGAGGAAUAUCAGAGCGGAGAUGUUUUCCCUGUGCUCCUAAAAUCAUGUAACAUACCUUCCGCUUAUAUGUUAGAUGGGUGUAGAUAAAAGUUAGGCAUCAGGAUUAUUGUAUGUGUCAGUAGAUGGGGCACCAGCCCUAGAUUGUGGGAGCAGUGGUGAAACCAUUUGCCACGGAUCCUAUAUUCUCAGAAGAGACUGGAGCAGAUUCUUCACUAAGAGCAAUUUCCACCGCAGCUCCCAAAGUGUUGGCAUCCAAUGGGAGGCCCAAAGGCAUCUAGGAUAGUUUGGGUUAUCCCUUAGGCCAGUCUCAAGGAGACCAUACUGGCUAUGUUGCCAAAUCAUAGAGUUUGGCACACCAGAUAUGAUGUACUGUCACCACUUAGGUUUGGAUCCUCCUGAAACACCACCACCACCGCCGCCAUGACCACCACCACCAUCAAUUGCUGCAUUAGAUUAUGCUGGGUAAUGAACAACUGCAAAAUCUGAGUGGCUUAUGACAGCAAGAUUUAGUUCUCACUUUACACUAUGUGCCCACUAUGGACUGGGUGAAGUUCUGCUCAAGUCUCCUAUCUCUGGAGUCUGUGCUGAUGGAAUACAUCUCUGAAAGAUUGCCAGUCACCAUGAUUGAGGGAAAGAGAGAAUAUGAAAAUUGUUUACUGGCUCUUAGAAUUUCUUCUUGAAAUAGGGUGUUGGGCUUCUGGGUUGUGAUUAAGAUGGCAUUUUGGUUAUGUUAGGUCUGUGAUCCAGCAAUAACUGGAUUCAGCCUCUCAUGAGCAAUCUUUACCAGAUCCUGAAAAAAAUGCAUGAAGAAAAUAGUAAGAAAAUAUACCAUGUUUCCACUGAUGUGUGUGUGUCCCCCAGUGAAGAAUCCAGUGAGCUAGAUAGGACCCCACCGGGAACUCCUUUGUGUUACCUGAGCAGCUUGAGACUAAAAGGGGUUAAAUGCCUGCUUUGCUUACUUUCACUCCACAGCACUGAUCUGAGUCUUAUUCCUAUUACUCCAUAUAUCUGCCAACAAGAGGCUGAAGAGAGCACAAGAUACACGGGAAGGAACUGGAGAGUGUUUGUCGCAAAACCACAUGGAGAGCUGGUGUAGGCUGCAUGUCCAAGCCACAUGGUGAAAGAAGCCAGAGAACCUGAAGAGAGAAACAGGGAGCAGGAGCCGGCCAGUGGAAAGCAUGCAUGUUGGGAGACAGCCCGGUUCUCAAGAAGGACAGGCCAAGACCACAGCUUAGCUUCUCUAGGCUGGCAAGAGUGACCCGAAAUUGAAGCAUGUGGAUGCACGGAGGGUAUCAGGUAAUAAUCUGUUCUUAUUUCUCAGUAGGAAGGUGCGUCACUUUAAGGCUUAGACUUUAAAAAGUUCCUUGUAGGUUGUUGUUGAUGCUGAUUCAUUAUAAUUUUAUUCUGUAUAUUUCAAGCACCUACAGGUAUUUUUAUUUUUUCUCAACAGCAGGUGAGACGUGGUCUAUUUUUUUGCCUGACACACAGAGUGUGGCUGGGGCCUGUGACUAGGUGCGAAUGUCCUCUCUAGCUUCUAAUUUGGGUCUCUAGCUGCUUCUUCCCAGCAAGAAUUCUUAACAAGAAAAAGAAACCAAAAUAAUGUAGUUCCAAUGAGUAGGUUAUUUUAUGUCAGUUUUUGCAGACAGUGGUUUGUCAAUGCCAGGCGCCUCUGUGUUUUCUUAAUAAUAGAAGUAGAUUUAGACUUUCAGACAUGAAAUUGGUUCACAAAGUCGUGGUAUGUGAGUUUAUUUCUGAGGGUAAGAGAAGUGAUACCGUUCGAAGUUGCUAGAAUAGUUGGAGUGGGGAUGCAAAUUACCCUGAUGUGGAUCUUGAGAAGCAGUGACAAGGGUGCGAUCCUGUAAUACUAGCAGGCGGUUCAGUACUAGGCCACGUUUUGCAUCAGGAGCUGUGGCCAACUCUUUGCUUUUUCCCCUUCUCUUCUCUCUCCCCUUUGCUCCUGCACCUCGUCAGCUCUGCGGUGGGCUGGUGGUGGUUCAAUGAGUAGGCUCCGGAGCCUGACUUCACAAGUGCAGAUUCUUGCUCCACCAUAGACGCCCGCAUGACCUUGGCGAGUCACUCACUUUCAGUAGGCCUCAGUUUUCUUAUUGGGUAGUGAGUAUAAUUUUUUCUUACUUCCUUGGGGGAGGACUAAGUGAGGUAAUUAAUGUAAAGUGCUUAACAAAAUGCCAGGAGCAUUGCAGGUGCC
ensembl:lncRNA